ACAACAACAACAACAAACUUUUCCCUAUUUCUCUUUUGGGGAUACAUGGUUAUCUGAUUUCACAAUUCUUAUUCCCUUUCCUAAGCCAAGAAGAGAAGCCCACCUUCUCUGAAAGAAUUUGUUGUCAUGCGACAGCAAGACCUCACAGGCAACCUGACUGGCUUCUGGGUGAAGAACCGCUAGUGCCCUGUUGCUUCAUGAAUGCUAAGAGACAUCACAGGUUAGAGGAAAAGAGAUAAGAAUAAGAGAAUAAUAAGCUGCAGAAGCCCACACUACUGAUCUGGCCACAAUUUCCCCACCUUCCUCUUGCAACCCAGGACAGCUUCCAGGAAAGCUUGUACAGGAUCUAGUCUUUCUGUAAGGAAUUGUUCACUCAUGAUGAGAUUCAGCAAUCCAACUUUAAUGUCAGACUAUGUGCUAGUAUCUUCAAGAAUUGAUAAAUUGUAUUAGUUUUUUUAAGCACACGGGUUUUGGCCUGGUUUAUAUUUUCUGUUAUUUGUUUCCAGUCUCCCUUAUGUCUGUUAAAUCCCAGGCUCCAAACCUCCUAGGGUUAAUGGUCAUUUCCUGCCGACUCCUCUGAAUCCCACUGUUUCCAUGGAUUUUGUCCAUCUGUAGCUGGAUGCCUCUUGACUAUUCUUCUCUAGUUUGGGUUUCCAGGUCAUGCCCAUUGAAAUAUGUAAGAAACCAACUAUCGCAUGAAAUGUGGUGGUUUUAAAAGCUUACAACUGCCUUUACACAAACUGCUGUCCUCAUUUAGCAGGCCAGGGGAGAUGGAGAAGGCAUGGUGCCAAGAACAAGGGAUAUAAUGAUGAGCAAGAAACAGAUACAAGCAAAUAAGUGAUGAUCCUUGCUACAUUGAGGAAAAACUCAAAGGAGCCAGGAAAGAAAGAAAAAUAAUGGAUUUGGGAGCAUGGGUGAAAGGUGUGUUGGGAGCUCUCAGCAGUUUCCAGCAUCCAAUAGCAGCAAAAUCCAGAAGGAUAAGGAAAUCUCAGCGGUAUUCGGAUAGCAGUGAUUAAGAAUACUCAAGACAACAGAAAACUGAGGACAGUUGUCUCUACUCCUCACCUCGUGCAAAGGGAUUGGCCAGGAAACGAAAAGCUUCAAAGCACUGGCCUUGAAAACAUAAAUCCGUAAAUUAUUUGCAAGCAUUCUUCUUCAAGUGAAGGUCCUGCUCUCACUGUCAUUGUGCACCUGGGAGUAUCCUCUGCGUGACCUUUCAGCUGAUUCCUGGCACUGAUUCAGAGAGUCAACAAGCCAGCCCGGUCUCAGGCAAUGGUCUGCACCCAUCUAUGCUCUCCUCUGACGGAUCAGUUUAUACAGCCCAUGGAAUUUCAGAAAAACAGAAGCCCAGGAUUGAGAGAUUGAUUCCAGAUCACACAGCCAGUGACUGGGGACAUAUUUUAUGCUGGAGUUCAUAUUCUCUCCAUGGCCCCUGCUGCCUCUCCUGCCAUGAUGAAGAUGAGAGCCUUGGACUCAGUCCUGGGUUCACAUCUAUUUCCACACUGCUUGGAAAAGCUAAUUAGCAUACGUGAACUUCAGUUUGCUUAUCUAGAAAUAAGGGAUGGUAAUGCUUCUAUGGCAGGGUAGUUGGGAGGAAGGAGAGGGCAGAGGCCACACACCCUUAGUGUGAUAUCUGAAAUAUGGUUAGGACCCAACCAAUAACAUUUGAUUGGCACUGGUGUUUUAUUUUUGCUAUUCUUUAUAAUGCCUUCAGAGGAGAAUUCCUUGGACCGUGCCCCCAAAGUUCCAAAUUCUUAAACAGAUCAACACCUGACCCAUAGCUUUCUGCAAAUGACUUUUGGUGCUGAUCGUAUGAGCCAUGUGGGUCCGGUGGGAAGCACUUCAGUGGAAAGUCCUCCCUCACACUGGGUUGAGGACGCAUGCCACUGUUUGGGUACAACAUGGAUUUCGUCAGCUAGUUCAAGCAAUGACCUUUUAAUAUUUUCACCAAGGGAAAUGGAGACAAAUUAACAGUAUUUGAGCCAGAGAAAACCCUGGGAGAUUGGUAAGGGUUGUAGUGUUCCCAAUAAUUUAGUAAAAUCAUAAGUACCCUGAGAAGUUCUGUUCAGGGCACCAAUUCUCAUCCAGUAUUAAUGUUUAAAUCUUCUGAAAUAGGCAUUGCACACUGAAGAAGCUUGUUCCUGCAACUUGGGUGGGGAAUUGUGGUAGAAACCAUGAAUUUGGAUGUCUGCCAGUUUGUCUUUCUUGAGCACUGUGCCCCUCACCCUGAUGCAGGAACCAAAGACCCGAGGUGGUGUGCAUCAAGAAUGCUAUGCAGUGCACAAAAAGGGAGCCUGACUGGGUCAGAACUGGUCCCUUGGUUCUGUGGCUUAAAGGCUAUCUCUGUGCUGUUUGGUGAGGAGGACCUGGAGACCAACGUCAGAACACUAAGCAUCUCUCUUUCCAGUGUGCCAGCUCGCAUCCUAGCAAGCAGCUCUGUCUUUACUGACACUGUCCUCUUCACCAAAUCCUCUGGCAGAUCAAAAUAGAACAAAACAACACAAAACCUCAUUGGAACAAGGGGUUUUGCUUAAUGAUUUCAGCUCAGUGUGGGAGAAGCUGGUAUAUGGUCACCCUGCCCCCUCAUAGAAAACAGUUUAAUGGGGCUUCCUUCUGUCUCUGUGUGUGAGAUACUACUCUUUUAAAUCAGAAUCCAUUCAUGGCUUGGUCUCAGCACUCAGGAGACUAAACUUCCCCUGACAUUUUGGAAGCAUGUUUGGAGUUUAAUUUAAUUGCAUUUAAUUGGGUCUCGGAGCAGCUCUAAACUUCUGAGACACCCCUGGAGCUCACUUGGGCUUCUGCCCCCCAGGAAUUUACUUAGGCGGAAUCCCUUGUAGGGGACUAACAGCCCACCAGAGUCAUUUAACUUCCUCCUAAAUGUAAUGAAGGAGCAGGCUGCUGGGAGGGGCUUUCUGCCCAUUUCUUAGCCCCCUUGAAUCUAAUACUGUGAUUCUUAAUCCUACCAGACCCACCACCUACUUAUAGCAAGCAUCUUAUCAUGUCCUCUGUACUAUCCUAAAAUGAAAUUCCUGUUCACACAAUGAAAACAUUAAUUUAGCAUCUUAGCAGUAAUAUAGGUGAGAAAUAAAAAGAAGGAAAUUUCUACUAAAACGAGAUGUGUUUCAAUAUGUAAAUUUUCAAACACAACCUCCAUGAAGGUGUUGCAUACUGGGAUUCAUAUUUGGAAACUCUGUGAAUGCAGAGGCUGAAAAAAAUGGGCUCACAGAAUCUAGGACCCAAAACUACCAUUUGUGCUGUUAUUAGAUAAGUCAUGGUACCGUCCAAAAUGAACAACUCUGGGAAGUUUCAAACAAUGGAAACUCUUUCUUUUGAUUUACAUGGUGGUUGGGUUUCUGCAAAAUUAGUAUCUUGCAAAAGGUACUUUGUAUUUAUAGGUGAGACAGAGUUGUGUUCUUGGCUCUGAUAAUUCCUCAUGGCCCUCUGUGUGAAGUGAUGUGUGAAGUUUGUGGAAAGUAGGGCAGUUGUUUGUUGGGUGGAACUGUCCCAGGAGUUGUGGGACAUCUGGCAUUUCUGCCUCUUCCCAUCAUUGGGGCAACCAGAACAGUUGAUUGGACAAAUUUUGCUCUUCAUGGAUUUCAUAAUUUAGAAAUUAAAUUGGCACCAUUGAACUCAUAACUCAUACUCCCUGUUCUUAUUGAUGUGGCAGUAUGCUCGGACUUCUGCAAAAAGUGGUGGGGAAUUGU